rnacentral:rRNA from 1 species
CCUACGGGUGGCAGCAGUAGGGAAUUUUGCGCAAUGGGCGAAAGCCUGACGCAGCAACGCCGCGUGAUCGAGACGCCCUUCGGGGUGUAAAGAUCUGUCAGUGGGGACGAAACUUGACGGUACCCACAGAGGAAGCACCGGCUAACUCCGUGCCAGCAGCCGCGGUAAUACGGGGGGUGCAAGCGUUGUCCGGAAUCAUUGGGCGUAAAGAGUUCGUAGGCGGCACGUAAAGUCUGGUGUUAAAGGCAGAGGCUCAACUUCUGUACGGCACUGGAUACUUGCGAGCUAGAAUGCGGUAGAGGUAAAGGGAAUUCCUGGUGUAGCGGUGAAAUGCAUAGAUAUCACGCAGAACUCCGAUUGCGAAGGCAGCAUACCGGCGCUCAACUGACGCUGAGGCACGAAAGCGUGGGGAUCGAACAGGAUUAGAUACCCGUGUAGUC